rnacentral:rRNA from 1 species
ACACGUGAGAAACCUGCCUUAAAGUUCGGGAUAGCUCGGCGAAAGUCGAAUUAAUACCGGAUGUGGCCUUAGGAUAGCAUUUUCCUAAGAUUAAAGCUCGGUCAUAGAGCGCUUUUAGAUGGUCUCGCGGUCUAUCAGCUUGUUGGUGAGGUAACGGCUCACCAAGGCUACGACGGAUAACUGAUCUGAGAGGAUGAUCAGUCACACUGGAACUGAGACACGGUCCAGACACCUACGGGUGGCAGCAGUCGAGAAUCAUUCACAAUGGGCGAAAGCCUGAUGGUGCUACGCCGCGUGGGGGAUGAAGGGCUUCGGUCUGUAAACCCCUGUCAUCUGUGAGUAAGGUCUCGUAUAAA